rnacentral:rRNA from 1 species
UCGGGAAUUUUGGGCAAUGGGGGAAACCCUGACCCAGCAACGCCGCGUGAAGGAUGAAGUAUUUCGGUAUGUAAACUUCGAAAGAAUAGGAAGAAUAAAUGACGGUACUAUUUAUAAGGUCCGGCUAACUACGUGCCAGCAGCCGCGGUAAUACGUAGGGACCAAGCGUUGUUCGGAUUUACUGGGCGUAAAGGGCGCGUAGGCGGCAUGACAAGUCACUUGUGAAAUCUCUGGGCUUAACCCAGAACGGCCAAGUGAUACUGUCGCGCUAGAGUGCAGAAGGGGCAAUCGGAAUUCUUGGUGUAGCGGUGAAAUGCGUAGAUAUCAAGAGGAACACCUGAGGUGAAGACGGGUUGCUGGGCUGACACUGACGCUGAGGCGCGAAAGCGUGGGUAGCGAAUGGGAUUAGAUACCCCUGUAGUCCCUGAGCGGGCUGGCAAGGCGCAU